rnacentral:rRNA from 1 species
UACGUAGGGACCGAGCGUCGUCCGGAUUCAUUGGGCGUAAAGAGCUCGUAGGCGGCUGCUCAAGUCGAAUGUGAAAACUCGAGGCUCAACCUCGAGCCUGCAUUCGAUACUGGGCGGCUAGAGUCUGGUAGGGGGAUCUGGAAUUCCUGGUGUAGCGGUGGAAUGCGCAGAUAUCAGGAGGAACACCGGUGGCGAAGGCGGUUCUCUGGGCCUUACCUGACGCUGAGGAGCGAAAGCGUGGGGAGCGAACAGG